GCGCCCCCAGCUCCGCCUGGUCCCCCGGGGCCCGGUCCCUUCCGGCCACACUCUCCGCUCUUUAUCUUCUUCCUCGCCAUGUGGCCCCGGAAACUCGCCUGGAUUUUGGCUGCAGCGGCGUUGGCUCCGGGAUCAUCCAGCGGGAUGUCAAGAAUAUCGUCGUCUGGCUUGGAGCAGGCGCUCUCCUGAGGAUGGGGCAUAUUGUUGUUUUUGUUUUUGUUUUAAUGGGGUUGAUAAAGCCCAGACACGGAGGGGAUGGGGAUGAUAAAGACAGACUCCCAGGGAAUGUGGUAAGAGUAGUGCCCUGUAAGAUUGGGAGGACUUCAAGGAUGGCAGAAGGAGUAGAGAGGGAAGCCUAUGAGUAUUAGCGCAUCUCUUAGGCAGCCAAGAAGGUUCUGGCCCAGGCGGACACAGAAAGAAGUACAUGGGAGGAUGGAGAAAAGAGAGCCAGCUAGCCCCAUUUGAAAGUAGCCUUUAGUUUUAGGGGGCUGCCGAGUUGAGUCUGGAAGAGCAAAGGAAAAGCAGCAGGCACUCCUGAAAGUGACCACCCUUUGCUCUCAGAAGAUGCCCAGACCUUCUUUGUACAGGAUUCCUCAGGGAAUGGACAUAUAUAUCUGCUACAGAGCAGUUUUCUCCGGAGCAGAACUGCACCAGAACUCAAUUCAGGAGAAAAUGAACCCACCACUCCUGGAAUCAGCCAGAGGCCCAGACGUGGUCUUCCUAUUGGACUUGCUAGUUCCUACUGUCUCCCAGAUUGGACCCAAAGAACCCCAAAGAGGUAAAACGACAAUAACUGAAAAGGAAACAGAAGGCAAGAAGUUCUUAGGUCAAUGGCUACCAUUUAAGCUUUUUCCCAUCUUGGGUGCAAGAGCUGUGCUUUUCAAAUAUUUUAAUUCUUUCUCAACAAUAAAGGUGGGUCACUUUCA
rnacentral:lncRNA from 1 species